CAGCAGCCGCGGUAAUACGUAGGUGGCAAGCGUUGUCCGGAAUUAUUGGGCGUAAAGGGCUCGCAGGCGGUUUCUUAAGUCUGAUGUGAAAGCCCCCGGCUCAACCGGGGAAGGUCAUUGGAAACUGGGAAACUUGAGUGCAGAAGAGGAGAGUGGAAUUCCACGUGUAGCGGUGAAAUGCGUAGAGAUGUGGAGGAACACCAGUGGCGAAGGCGACUCUCUGGUCUGUAACUGACGCUGAGGAGCGAAAGCGUGGGGAGCGAACAGGAUUAGAUACCCGGGUAGUCCCUGUCUCUUAUAC
rnacentral:rRNA from 1 species